GACGAACGCUGGCGGCGUGCUUAACACAUGCAAGUCGAACGGAAAGGCCCUGCUUUUGUGGGGUGCUCGAGUGGCGAACGGGUGAGUAACACGUGAGUAACCUGCCCUUGACUUUGGGAUAACUUCAGGAAACUGGGGCUAAUACCGGAUAGGAGCUCCUGCUGCAUGGUGGGGGUUGGAAAGUUUCGGCGGUUGGGGAUGGACUCGCGGCUUAUCAGCUUGUUGGUUGGGUAGUGGCUUACCAAGGCUUUGACGGGUAGCCGGCCUGAGAGGGUGACCGGCCACAUUGGGACUGAGAUACGGACCAGACUCCUACGGGAGGCAGCAGUGGGGAAUAUUGCACAAUGGGCGGAAGCCUGAUGCAGCAACGCCGCGUGCGGGAUGACGGCCUUCGGGUUGUAAACCGCUUUCGCAUGUGACGAAGCGUGAGUGACGGUAAUGGGUAAAGAAGCACCGGCUAACUACGUG
rnacentral:rRNA from 1 species